UAUGGUCACACUGUGUUGAAAAACCAGUUCCCAUACAAUCACUAAAGCUAAGCAACAUCAGGCCUGGUCAAUACCUAGAUGGGUGACUGCUUGGAAAUAUCAGGUGCUGUAAG